rnacentral:rRNA from 1 species
AACGAACGCUGGCGGCAGGCUUAACACAUGCAAGUCGAACGCAUCCUUCGGGGUGAGUGGCAGACGGGUGAGUAACGCGUGGGAACGUGCCCUUCAGUUCGGAAUAACCCAGGGAAACUUGGGCUAAUACCGGAUACGUGCGAGAGCAGAAAGAUUUAUCGCUGAAGGAUCGGCCCGCGUCUGAUUAGCUAGUUGGUGGGGUAAUGGCCCACCAAGGCGACGAUCAGUAGCUGGUCUGAGAGGAUGAUCAGCCACAUUGGGACUGAGACACGGCCCAAACUCCUACGGGAGGCAGCAGUGGGGAAUAUUGGACAAUGGGCGCAAGCCUGAUCCAGCCAUGCCGCGUGAGUGAUGACGGCCUUAGGGUUGUAAAGCUCUUUCGUCCGGGACGAUAAUGACGGUACCGGAAGAAGAAGCCCCGGCUAACUUCGUGCCAGCAGCCGCCGCCG